GCCUANCUUAACACACAUGAAAUCACCAAUUGUUCGCCAAACAACUACGAGUUAAAACUUAAAACUUAAAAGACUUGACGGUACUUCACACCACCCUAGAGGAGCCUGUCUAAUAACCGAUACCCCACGAUUAACCCAACCCACCCUAGCCCAACAGUCUAUAUACCGCCAUCGCCAGCUUACCUUGUGAAAGAAACAAAGUAAACACAACAGCUACCACUAACACGAUAGGUCGAGGUGUAACUAAUGGGUGGGAAAAAGAUGGGCUACAUUUUCUAAUACAGAAAACACGAAUAGACUAUGAAAAUAGAAACCGAAGGCGGAUUUAGCAGUACGUUAAGGACAAAAUGCUUAACCNAAAUAAAUGCAAUGAAGUGCGU
rnacentral:rRNA from 1 species